AAACUUGAACGAUCGAUCGUAUUUACAGCAAUGAAUGGAUACGCUGCUCAAUUCCGCCUAUCCUUCCUUCUCGUUCUGUUGUCUCCGAACCAAAAACCCUUGUUUCUACCCUUACGUUCUCUCGCGUUCUGCACUUCUAAUUUGACUUUCAGAUAAAUAGCGACACACACGUAUUAUAUCAGCGAGAAAAUAAGAAUGGGAGAAGGGAGAGAAGGGGAUUGGGAGUGCAGUGGAUGUAAUAACAGGAACUAUGCCUUCCGGUCAUUCUGCAAUCGUUGCAAGCAACCUCGCCUUCUCGUUGACAACGAAACCCCUGCUGAUUCUAAGUGGCUACCUCGUAUUGGCGAUUGGAUCUGCACUGGUUGCACUAACAACAAUUAUGCAUCAAGAGAGAAGUGCAAAAAGUGUGGACAACUGAAGGAGGUGGCAGCCAUGCCGGCAAUCGCAAUGACCGGAGCAUCUUUUCCAACUUAUUCACAUCAUUUUUCCAGGGCUCCAGGAGGACCUGAUCAAAAAAUGAAUAUUGGAUUGAUCGGAAAUAGUGCUCCACCAGUUUCCCUAUGGCUACCAAGUGGAAACUAUGGUUCUGGGCUUCCUUAUGAUAAUUGUACCAACCCAAACUUGUCUGUUCUGAAAGGAUGGCGUAAUGGGGACUGGAUCUGUAAUUGUGGCUUCCAUAAUUAUUCAUCACGUUCCCAGUGUAAGAAAUGCAAUGCGUUUCCACCUGGUAUGGCUUCUUCUUCUGGAUUUAGUAGAGUAGCACUUGGGACAAAGCGAUUAGCUUCUGAAGAGUUGGUUUAUGACUGGGAUAACAAGAGAUUGAAUGUGGGACAUACAAAUGAGCAGCAACAAAUAUAUACAAGUGUGGAGCAAGUGGUAGUGGCCAGUGCAGAUUCAAAAUCUGGAGUCUUCCCCUCAGCCACUGUAAACUCAAGUACUGCCCCGAGUUUGCCAAUGCCCAUGCUGUUUCCUCCACAAAUUACCACACCUGCACUCCUUGGAAAAGGAGCAAAGCAAUGGCGUAAUGGAGAUUGGAUGUGCACAAAUUGCAACAAUCACAAUUAUGCUUCCAGACUGCAGUGUAACAGGACAUUUUGUUUAAAAAAUUAUCCUCCACAUGAAAACAAAUGAUGCUUCUCAAGCGAUCAUGCAUGUUGACAUUAUGGAUUUGCUUAAAUCUGGUUCAUUAAAGGUGUAAAACUCAGAGAAUGGCACCCAUACAACCCGUCAAUGUGAUGUAAUGUUGUAUUUGAUUGUAUUACGAGUUAGACUUAGAAUGUUGUUGCAUGCACAGUUGCUGCUUGAAUUUUGUUUUGGUUUUCCAGCAUGUAUUUUUCAGCAAAAAAGUGGAUUUUCUUGAUAGGCUCGUUAUGCUUGCUUGAUUUAGUGGCAGUGCAUUUCAAUUCAUCUGAGAGAUGUGUAAUUGUUUUUAUAAAUAUUCAUGAUAUAUGAGAUUUUUGGUGUGAGAUGUGUUA